CAGUGGUUAGCUCAGGGGAAGAGCGCUAGUUUCGGGAACUAGAGGCCGGGAUAUCAUAAUUCCCACCACUGA
rnacentral:tRNA from 1 species